rnacentral:rRNA from 1 species
CGAGAAAGCCCGCAAGGGUGAGUACAGCGGCGCACGGGUGCGUAACACGUGAGUAAUCAGCCCUGGAGCCCGGAAUAACCUCCCGAAAGGGAAGCUAAUGCCGGAUGAGCCCACGGGGUCCGUGGACCCUGAGGGAAAAGGCGGCCUCUGUAUACAAGCUGUCACUUCAGGAUGAGCUCGCGGCCCAUCAGCUAGUUGGCGGGGUAAUGGCCCACCAAGGCUACGACGGGUAGCUGGUCUGAGAGGACGAUCAGCCACACUGGAACUGAGACACGGUCCAGACUCCUACGGGAGGCAGCAGUGGGGAAUCUUGCGCAAUGGGCGAAAGCCUGACGCAGCAACGCCGCGUGUGUGAUGAAGGUCUUCGGAUCGUAAAGCACUGUCGCGAGGGACG